UGAGACCUAUAUCUGGGGAAAAAUCAUGGU
rnacentral:piRNA from 1 species